rnacentral:rRNA from 1 species
AGCGAACGCUGGCGGCAGGCCUAACACAUGCAAGUCGAACGCACAGUUCGGGGUUAGUGGCGGUACAGUGUAGAACACGAGGUAACGUGGGGUUAGGAACGCGAUGAUAAAGGGACAGGUAUGGUAAUACAGAAUGUGCACUCGGGGGGUAAGAUUGUACACUUUUAAUGAGGCCGGGGUAGUAAUAGGUAGUUGGCUGAGGUACUGGCACAACAAGGCGACGCUCAGUAGCUGGUCUGAGAGGAUGUUCCGCCACAUUGGGACUGAGACACGUCCCGAACUCCUACGGGAGGCAGCAGUGGGGAAUCUUGCGCAAUGCGUGAGAGACUGACGUUGCCAUGCCGCGUGAAUGUUGAAGGUCUUAGGAUUGUAAAAUUCUUUCACCAGGGCCGAUAAUGACGGUACCCUGAGAAGAAGCCCCGGCUAACUUCGUG